UAAUCCUAUUAUUUUUUGAUAUUUAGAAGCCCUAGGUUGAUCCAAUUAAAAAAAAAAUUUCGAAGCCGAGUUGUUUGCAGGGCUUUACUACCUACCCCAGAAAACGCCAUUCCGUUUUGCUGCAUCUUUACUUUUGGAACACGUUCCGAGGCAAAGGGAACUUAUUUCUUCUAUAUUUUCUGUAUGCAUGUCGAAAUGAUAAUUGCUCGCAACG